AUUGCUUGCAAUUAUAAGAGGAUAGCGGCGAACGGGUGAGUAACAUGUUGGAAUCUGCCCCCAAGUCAGGGAUAGCCCAUUGAAAAGUGGAUUAAUACCGGAUAGUCUCUUCGGAGUAAAAAUUUAUUGCUUGGGGAGGAGCCUACAUUCUAUCAGCUAGUUGGUAAGGUAAAAGCUUACCAAGGCUAUGACGGAUAACUGGUCUGAGAGGAUGAUCAGUCACAAUGGAACUGAGACACGGUCCAUACUCC
rnacentral:rRNA from 1 species